rnacentral:rRNA from 1 species
AGAGUUUGAUCAUGGCUCAGAACGAACGCUGGCGGCGUGGAUAAGACAUGCAAGUCGAGCGCUGAUUACAGGGUAGCAAUAUUCUGUGGUCGGAGCGGCGCAAGGGUGCGUAACACGUGGGUAAUCUGCCAUGAAGUCUGGAAUAACUUGCUGAAAGGCGAGCUAAUACCGGAUGUGAAAUUUGGAAGGCAUCUUCUGAUUUUCAAAGCUGGGGACCGUAAGGCCUGGCGCUUCAUGAUGAGCCCGCGGCCUAUCAGCUAGUUGGUGAGGUAACGGCUCACCAAGGCUAAGACGGGUAGCUGGUCUGAGAGGACGACCAGCCACACUGGAACUGAGACACGGUCCAGACACCUACGGGUGGCAGCAGUCGAGAAUUUUUCACAAUGGGCGCAAGCCUGAUGGAGCGACGCCGCGUGGGGGAUGAAUGGCUUCGGCCCGUAAACCCCUGUCAUUUGCGAACAAAUUGGUUCAAUUAACACCUGAACCAUUGAUAGUAGCGAAAGAGGAAGGGACGGCUAACUCUGUGCCAGCAGCCGCGGUAAUACAGAGGUCCCAAGCGUUGUUCGGAUUCACUGGGCGUAAAGGGUGCGUAGGUGGUGAGGUAAGUCGGAUGUGAAAUCUCCGAGCUCAACUCGGAAACUGCAUUGGAAACUACCUUGCUCGAGGGUUGGAGGGGGGACUGGAAUGCUUGGUGUAGCAGUGAAAUGCGUAGAUAUCAAGCGGAACACCAGUGGCGAAGGCGAGUCCCUGGACAACUCCUGACACUGAGGCACGAAAGCUAGGGGAGCAAACAGGAUUAGAUACCCUAGUAGUCC